CUUUUCAAGAUCGUCUUAUAGGUUAAUUUUUAUGUUAAAAUUGUAAUUAAAGUCUCAGAAGAUUCAACCAUUCAAAGUGAAUGACUUUGUGAAGAACAUCAGAAGUGGACUUGCAACCCACACCCCUUGACCUCGAUAGUCAAUGAUGAUUGAACGAAUACGGACGCCGGUGCACAGAUGGUACGCGGUUUUGGGUGACCAAUGACUUGGAGAAUUCGCAAACGAGAAACUCAGCCAAAUUGGAUGGCCGAACAAACCCUUAAUUGGCAAACAAAGAUCUUCUUGGUGAAUGACGAAGGCUCGUAUACAGGGAGGAUACAAUUGUCAAAUAUUGAAAGCCGUUCAAGGAUUCUCCCGAGGAUAUAAUGGACGAAAUAAAAGCAGAUAGAUGGACGAUGCAAAAAAAGUAAAAAUUAUUAUACUCACUAAAUUAAAUCGUCCCCGUACUUAUCCUGAGAGACGGCACUAAUAACGUGUGGCUUCGUGCAGAUGUCUGAGAAACAGAGGCAAUUUUUAAGCAGACUGAAACUCAAUCCCGUUACACAAGAUAAACAUGGAGAGUUGACACCUACUACGUAGAAUAAUGCGUCAGUCUAUGCGUUCGAAUGAUUUACUUAGUUUACUACAGGCCUAUUGGACGUCGGACCAUGUUCCUAUUGACGAUUCAACAACUAUUUCAUAUAAUUGCUACGAAGUAGCAACUAGACCUAACUAUAUCUAAGACAAACUAUAUCUCCAGACUGAACUAUAUCUAACUUCACAUUUCUAAAUACGUCUGGAGAACUGGCAACAAUAUUUUGAUAAUAUUUUCGACCUGCAACAAAUUAUUUCUAACAUGGAUCAUUCUACUAAACGUCCACGUGAAAAGCCAACAAAUCGUAAAGUAGGCAGAACCAGUUCCACCAUAUUCGCAACAAUGUUCCAAUCAUUGACGAUUGUAUCCAACCAACUGUCGAUAGGGUCAAGUUAACGAGGGAGUGACCAGUGGUCAAUCGAUUUACCAGCACAGCAAUAAUCGGAGCAAGACGGCCGAUAGGGGAAACUUGAAAUGUUUUUCCAAGAGACACGAAACACCAACUGGAAUUACGUACGAUGGGAUAAGCGUAUAAGUCUAGUAUAACACUGGUCAGACAUGUUUGUCCAGAAGAUGGACCCAAUGCUUUUAACUAUCACGGAUGGACACGCACUCGACCACGUAUUCCUAAGGCAGAAAUAAUUGAAGUGAAAUAGAGAACAAAUAUUUAUUAUAUGCAUGCACCAUGGCCACGUGUAUUUAUAAAACACAGAGUUCUACAAAAAAGUAUGCAUGAGCUGUCAAAAAAAAAAAUCCGAGUAAUAAUAAGGCUUUAAUCAGAAUUGCCAGGACUGAAGAAAUAUGGCUUUUUCAAUUAAAGCGAAAACUCCUGUAACCUGUUUUAGGGAUUCUAAUAAAGGUGUCUAAUUUAUUUAUAAGACCUGUACGAGCUGUUGACAUUUAAGUUACUUGCAAAUCGGCCGCUGUGGUUUCUGCCAUGAAAACGACAUAAAGAAACCAAAGAGUAGCCAGUGCGCCCGACGCGUUUCCUUAGCGGGACACGCGCUUUCGAUUUACGCCACGCGACGUCAGCACGUGAAGUCGCGUGCGUACCGGAAGCGCACUAGGACACGUGGGCUCCGUACACUUCCUAUGGAAUAACAUCGCUGAUAAGUCAUCAAUAUUAUGACCCGCGUAAAAUUCAAAUGGAUUCUCGACGUGAGUCACUGUGCUGAAGUCUAUACGAAUGAGUAUCAAGGUCGUGUCCUGAGGUAAUCUUGAAUGACGCAGAUACGACUCCAGGUGAUGAGAAAUGCAUCCACAGUCUCAUGCGUAUGUGCACGCUUAAGGAUAUGGGGGGUCCCUUUUAGAAUUGGCAACCAGGUGUGCAUACCGGUACUUUAAUCCACGUGGUAGAUUGCCAAUGAAUUCGAUGCCUUUUUACUCCACGUGAACUGGUUUUCUUUCUUUUCAAUUUAAAUUGCACAAAUAUCAUUGCUCGUGCUAAUAAUAAUAACACGUACUUGACAGUCUAUGCAAAACUGAAGAAAAAUAUAAAAUUAUUGCGUAGCCAAAAGAUUUUGUUUGUUUUAAUACGAAUUUAAAUAUUCUUUAAUUUCAUGUAGGAAUUAUAUGUAUUAUGGGACGUUGUUCUUUAUGAUUUUGCAUAAGACGAGACUGUUGUAAUUUGCUAACAGUGUAAUUUGCUAACAGUGACACAAUUUUGGCAUAUUUUCCCAUCUCCAUCGAAUCCCCAAGUGCAGAUGGGAGGCUUGUCCCGGGUGCGAAGCCAGAUUUCACUUUCUUAAGGGGGGAGAUUGAAAAGGGUGCUCCUUACUCCCCUCUGAAAAACUAGGGAACCUGUGGGAACGUGGCUGCAUAAAGAGCAGGCAUCGGAAGGAAUUACAUAAUGCAAGGAAGUCGGAAGAAACAUUUUUAAGGGGUGCCACAAUUCGGGCCACAUGCGACUCAACACUGGUUAAGAAUAGCCAAUGGGGAAGGCCACGUGAUCUACUUUUUCUCUACUCUUUCCCUUUCUUUUUUUGGACUUUUAUUAUUUUAAAAGAAGUGUGCAGGACGUGUGUAGAUUUUUGAGAUAUGAUUAGGGACAAGGCCAACCCUGUAACCUUUAUUAUGUUUUUUUAUCAAACACGCACUGACAUAACAAUUAGUAUUAACUAACACGGUUUAAAAAUAUUUAAUUAAGCCACUGCUCCCUUAUUGUUGAUUAUUUAUAAUUAAGUAAAAAUAAUAUAUCCGUUAGUUUAUAAAAAAUUUGUAAAUAAGAUAAGGAAUAAUUAAAAAUUGUUAUUACAAA